rnacentral:rRNA from 1 species
GCUAGGAUGAACGCUAGCUACAGGCUUAACACAUGCAAGUCGAGGGGCAGCAUUGGAGUAGCAAUACUCAGAUGGCGACCGGCGCACGGGUGAGUAACACGUAUCCAACCUGCCGCUUACUCGGGGAUAGCCUUUCGAAAGAAAGAUUAAUACCCGAUGGUAUAAAGAGUUCGCAUGUUCUCUUUAUUAAAGAAUUUCGGUAAGCGAUGGGGAUGCGUUCCAUUAGAUAGUUGGCGGGGUAACGGCCCACCAAGUCUACGAUGGAUAGGGGUUCUGAGAGGAAGGUCCCCCACAUUGGAACUGAGACACGGUCCAAACUCCUACGGGAGGCAGCAGUGAGGAAUAUUGGUCAAUGGACGAGAGUCUGAACCAGCCAAAAGUAGCGUGAAGGAUGACUGCCCUAUGGGUUGUAAACUUCUUUUAUAAGGGAAUAAAGUGAGGGACGUGUCCCUUUUUGUAUGUACCUUAUGAAUAAGGAUCGGCUAACUCCGUGCCAGCCGCCGC